UACGUAGGGGGCAAGCGUUGUCCGGAAUCAUUGGGCGUAAAGAGCGCGUAGGCGGCCCUGUAAGUCCGCUGUGAAAGUCAAGGGCUCAACCCUUGGAUGCCGGUGGAUACUGCAGGGCUAGAGUCCGGAAGAGGCGAGUGGAAUUCUCGGUGUAGCGGUGAAAUGCGUAGAUAUCGAGAGGAACACCUGCGGCGAAGGCGGGUUGCUGGGCCGACACUGACGCUGAAGCGCGAAGGCGUGGGGAGCGAACGGG
rnacentral:rRNA from 1 species